GCGAAUUGCCCUUGGGUGCAGCAGGCGCGAAACCUUAGCAAUGUGCGAAAGCACGACUGGGUCAGUCCGAGUGAUUCCUGAUAAAGGAGUCUUUUACUUGUCCUAAAAGCACAGGUGAAUAAGGGGUGGGCAAGUCUGGUGUCAGCCGCCGCGGUAAUACCAGCACCUCGAGUGGUCAGGACGUUUAUUGGGCCUAAAGCAUCCGUAGCCGGCUCUGCAAGUCUUCGGUUAAAUCCACCUGCUCAACAGAUGGGCCGCUGGAGAUACUACAGAGCUAGGGAGUGGGAGAGGCAGACGGUAUUCAGUGGGUAGGGGUAAAAUCCUCUGAUCCAUUGAGGACCACCAGUGGCGAAGGCGGUCUGCCAGAACACGUUCGACGGUGAGGGAUGAAAGCUGGGGGAGCAAACCGGAUUAGAUACCCGGGUAGUCCCAGCUGUAAACGAUGCAAACUCGGUGAUGCAUUGGCUUAUGGCCAAUGCAGUGCCGCAGGGAAGCCGUUAAGUUUGCCGCCUGGGAAGUACGGACGCAAGUCUGAAACUUAAAGGAAUUGGCGGGGGAGCAC
rnacentral:rRNA from 1 species